rnacentral:tRNA from 1 species
GGUCUGUAGCUCACUUGGUAGAGCACUUGCCUAGCAUGUGUGAGGCACUGGGUUCUAUUCUCAGCACCA